AUUUUUUCAAUCUGAAAAAUUUUGUGUCUUUCUUCAGCCAUUUGAUUGGAUUAAGAAGACGUUCAUUGAGAAGGAGCCUGAAGGAAAGUGAACAAGGAUCAGAUUUCUGAACAGCUUUUCGAUAGCUUUCAUCAUGUUGGCAAUGAGAAACCUUGAGUGAAGCUGACAAGAAAAUUGUUGUUUCAUUUUCUGGUCAUUGUUGAGACCUUAUUGGCAUUAAUUCCUGGUUUAACUGGACAAUUUUAAACUCAAGUGCAAUUUUUAUAAUAAUUGUACUUCAGCUUUUGCUCUCUCUCUCUCUCACACACACACAGAGCACACACCUGCAUCCAAGAAUACUAACUUAAUCAAGCAAUUACUAAAGAAGGGAUGAGUAGUUUUGUUAAUAUGCUUGGUUCCAUGUGUAUGCCAAAGUUGCACCUCUUUGAUCAACUUCUUUUGGUUGGAAUAGAAUGGCGAUAGGAAUAAUUUUUAGGCCAUAUAUUUUUUAUAUUCUCAGGCAAUGUAUAUAUAUAUAUAUACCCUUAUAAUAUUUUAGAUUAGUUAAUCAAACAUUUUGAACUAAAAUUGUAAUUUAGAAAUUGACAAAUGUCAUUAUCAAACUUGUAUAAAAUUGGAUUUAAAGGUACUAAUUCUUUGACAGUUAAAUAUAUGUAAAAAAAUUACUAAUCACAAAAUCAGGAAAUUAAAUAAUAUAUUAUCCGAGUUCAGAAAUAAUGCAACAUUAGCGUUAUUGGCUUCUAUUCCAAUUUCAUAACUAGCAUGUUGGUGUGAAUUAUUUCUAUACACGAGUUAACCCUUUGCUGCAGAAGCAUAUCACGAAGCACCUCAAGAUUUAGCUUGCUACCUACACGAGGUAUUCCGUCAUUCAUCCACCUACCAUCUCCAAGAUACUUCUUUCUGUCUCCUCUAACAGUCAUCACCUUGAGUGCGACGCAAUUAUCAAGUAAAUAAGUAAAAAACUCCAUCUCACAUGAUCUACCAAUACAUCCACUUAUCUCAAGCUCUUUGAGUUGUAAAUGUGGUUGUUUACUCCCCACUUUCGCUCUAUUAAAUUGAUCACAGGUGCUAAAGUGCAACUGCCAUAAACAAAUCAACCUAUAAAUACAUAUCCUUUUAUAAAAUUAAAACAAACGUAGAAAAUACUUAGAGUGAGAUACAAUUUUUGCAGAGCAGGAGCUACAUCAAUUAGAGGUACGAUUCCAAAAAGGUCAUAAUUCCAUACGUAAUUAUAUAGUACCAGUUCUUUCACAUUCCUGAGUGGACUCGCACUGUCACUUACUGGCAGACCCUACAAUACCAAAUUUCAUAGUUGGCGGGAAAGGAUAUCAAUAUAAAUUAUUUGUAUUUAAUUAUAAUAUAAAAUUUAUUUUGUGAACUUUCUCCACGUACCUCAAAAGGAUAAAGAACUACUGAUAGAAUUUCUAGCUGGGGAAGAUCUUUUGCAAGUUUCUUAUACAUAUAUCGAGCGCCGCUUAUAUAUUUAUUUAAGAACAUGAAAUAUGCCUUUCUCAAUGUUGGAAGGCCAGUAAAUGUUAAUGCCUCUGCGAUACCAGCAAACUCAAAGAAGUUCAACUUUUUAAGAGAAUUAAGCUCAAGGUUCAGGAAGUCAUUACAUGAAAUCUUGAAAGAUUCCAAUCCACUGGAUGGACCAAAUAUUCGAAGACUCCCAGGCAGAUAACAACUAUUCAGUGUUAAGCACUCCAGGUUCAAGCAAGUAGACAUUAUAGUGUCUAGAUGGCAUGGACUUAAAGGUACAUAACCAAUGUAAAGAGUUCUCAAAGAAAUUAAUCUUUUGGCAUGAUCAAGAGAAGGUGUAAAAGUACAUGAUACUAAGUGCAGAUGCUUCAAGCUAGAUGUUUUAGCAUGAUAAAUGAGAAGGUGACAAGGAAAAUCAUAAUGUUUAAUACCAGGAACAAAUACAAGAUCAAAAUUAAGAAAAAUUGUUUUAGCCUCCGACUGCGAAGCAAAAUUAAUCCAUCCAUCAAUAUGAGAGGCAGACUCAUCCCCAAGGCGAUAAGUAAGUUGGAAGGUAUCAAUUUUAGGACCAGUAUAGCAGCGCAAGAAUUGAUUAACAGCCAUUAAAAAUUUGGACUUGUUUUGCAAAUCAGGGUUUUUUCCAAAAACAGAAAGAGUAUCAAACUUGAGUUGAGGUGUGAAGGAGAAUAGAAAUCUCCAUCUUCGCGACAAUAAUCCCGUCUUAACAGCAUCUCUCAUGCUCAAAAAUGAUAGAGAAUAUCAUCAGGCAAUUCACUGAUACAAUCAUCACCAGCUUCUACUACUUCAACCUAAUCAGACAAAAAGCAAAAAGUCUUGCCAUGUAAAUUUCUAUUCACUCACUGAAUAUCAAUCAAGCAAAACAAGCAAAAACCAAACACAAAAAAAAAAUUUCCAAGACACAAACUUUAGAUAUUGGAAAUCAAUCACACCUGGGGAGACAUGUUGCUGGGCUCUUACUCUUCCUGUUGCUAUAGCACUGGCUAUGAUUUCAGAUGGCAUUCUUAGUGGAGAUCCGAGCAUCAUCCAUGUUUCUCUUCUAGAUCUUCUUUCUUCUUGAUCUUCAAUUUCUCCACCUUCUCUUCCUUCUUGUACUUCCACACCUGUCUUUGUUGCAAUUUUAAUGUGAGCUUGAGGUCCAUGAUUUGAUUCAAGAAUUUUUGUGUUACAUUGUGUGAAUUAAAGGGAAAUUAGCGAUUUUGGGGGUGUGGCGCUUGUGUGGAGAAUGACCAGAGAGAGAAGAGAGAAAGGGAAAGGAGAGAGGGACAAGAGAUGCAGGAGUGUAUUGGGAGGGAAUGGCACAAAAAUCGGAGAUUUAGGAGUUUUUUUUAAGUUAAUUAAGUUAUUAAUAUAAAAUUUUAAGACAUUUUCGUUUAUUCAUCGGUCCUUAGUGAUUUCAAAAGAGGGAAAUUAAAUUUUUAAAUUGUGAAUAAUGUUUUAUAUAUAUUUUAAAAAUUUAGAAAUUAAAUAGUAAAUUUUUUAAUAUUAUAAAAAUUAAAUAAUAAUUUUUUAUUUUAAAAUAAAUUUUUUAUCGGUUAAUUUUUUAAAAUGUAAUAAAUUUUAGAGAUGGUAAUAAAUCAAUUAUUUUCGAAUAUCCGAUUCAAUCUCAAUACAACAAAUUUAAUUAAUAUAUUAUCGGAUUUAAAAUAUAUUUAAAUUUAGCAUUGACAGGCUAAAUAAUUAAUUUAUUUUGUGUUACCACUUAUGAAGGAACCGGUGUUUCUACUCCUGUUCAAUUUAUAUAUGCUCUCUUCCACAGUGCCUUUAGCCUAACACCAUAAGAGAAGAGACAAAUAAAUGAGUGAGAACUAGAAGUGAAAGAUCUCUUAUGUGUCUAUGAGAGAGAGAGAGAGAGAGAGAGAGAGAGAGAGGAGGAAGAUUGAAGCAAGUUAAACAGAAUCUCAUAUAAAUGUGCAAAAGGGCUUUAAAUGGAACUUAUUAUCGCGCUGCCUUUGCUCAGUCAUAGCAAAUAAACCUGUACGAAAAAUCAUGAAAAGUAAUACAUGAGCAAACAGGAAAUGCAAGACCCUUAAACAGGGUGUUGAGAAGGUUAAUCUCAUAUAAUGGUUGAUGCAAAUGUGAGAGAAAGAGUUGGAUAGCCUGCUCAUUCAAAUGGUCUAUAAAUCUCUACCCAUUAAAGGGAUUCUAACACAAAAAAUAAAGUAAAAAAAAUAUAAAAAAAAAAAAUACCUAUCGCCAUUCACAUAAUCAAAGCAUCCCAGUGAAUGUAAAAAGAUAGAAACUUCUAAGGUCUUUUGGACUAUAUAUAUAUAAUUCAUGGAAGAGGCCAUGAUGUUAGCAAAAGGAAAGUUUUGGGGUCAUAUACCUGGACCAAAAAGGUUCACUGUACAAUUUCAGCGAUUAAAACAAAAAAGAGUAUGUCUCUCUCCCAUAGUGUCUUUCCAUGUCCGUCGUUCAGGAACAAGCACUUAAAAGCUUCCUUCUCCAGCAUUUCUAAUAAGUUUCACAUCACAUAAAUAAUGACAGAGAAAUCAUGAACACAUGAUUACAAUCUAUAAAUCAUAGUUGUCAUAUCGAGAAUCGAAUAAAAUCAUAACAUUGGGUACAACUUUUCAAGAAUCAAUUGAAAAUAAUACAAUAGAGGAAUGAAAGAGCUUCUCUUCCUCUUCAUUCUAUACUUUAAAUUACAAAUUUCAACUAAUUAGAGAUGGUUAAUCAUGAAUUAGAGUUGGAUUAAAUUGGUUAAGUGCAGGCUUUUAGGUAAAAAUAAAAAAUUUUAAAUUAAUGCGGACUCAUUACAUAUUUGAUUUCUUAUUUUUGUUAAAAUUAAAUUGGAAAAUAAUUACAAUUAUAAUAAAAUAAAUUCUUUAUGGUCCAAAAUUCAUAUUAAUAAUAUUAAUAUUAAUAUUACUAAUAUAAAAUUGGAGGAAUUAUUAGUAUCAAUAAUAUUAAUAUAAAAGUAAUACUAUUUAUUAAAUAUGAAGUAUAUAAAACUUCCCUAUAUAAGAAUUUUCAUUUGAAAACGUUAAGCCCGCCAAAAUCAACUUAUUGCCGCAGCAAGAAGAUAGAGCAACAUCGGAGAAGGAAAUCGUGAGAACAAAGCACCACCCUGACUCGUUCGUUACCUCGCCAUUAACUGUUCCACAUCUGAACUCAGUUUAGCAAUGGGACUUCAUUUCUCCAUUUGAAUCUUGUAACCCAAUUAGUUAGUUAGGACUUUGAAGUAGCCUUUCCACCGGGGUUGUAUACAAUACAGAUCUGCUUAGCCGACCUAUCUUUAUUCCAUUGAAUCCGUUAGUGCCCUCUCAAAAGAGAAAGGUUAGUUCUUUUCUUGUGUUCAGAUUAUUCAUUUUGCAAGACCGAGAAUUCAAAUGAAUUCUUGCAGAAGUUUAUUUCAUUUUCCUUGAAAAUCUUGUGUAAAUUUUAUUCCUGUGAAAUCACUAGAUAAUAAUUAAAUUCUUGUGAAAUAUUUUAUUCCAAAUAAUAAAUCAAAAUUGAGAGAAUAUUGCUCUAAUAUUCUGCAACUUGUAUUACUUCCUUUCUUUCCUAACUUCCCCUCUUUUAUUGAAAGGAAACCUUGAAAUUAGUCUUUUUCUGACAUAAUAUUGGUGAAUUUUAUAUGUUUUUCGAAUAUUGAUCAAGUGGAACUAGAACUACUUUUUGAUUCUAAAUUAAAUCUUCAGUUUGAUUUCUGUUAAACCAUGCAUGAAAUAUAUAAGAACCCUAGCUGUUUGUGUAUUUGUGUCUUUUGAUGCAUCAUAACAUUAGCAAAUUCUACAUUUAAAUCAAUUCUAUAACCUUCUUCAUUACUGAUUUAUCUUCUAGUAAUUUCAGUUUACUUUCCUUUAAACUACUUUUAUUCUUCAUAUAUGUUUGUGUGUAUAUAUAUAGUCUGUUGGAUUCAGUCUUGCAAUUUGGCUAAGAUAAUAUUUGCUUUGGUGCAUACAGCAUAUGGAAUAAUAUGAUAUAAUUGGGGAGCCUCUUGGCUCAGGCGGUUAUGGUAAGGUUUAGAAAGUAAUUCAUAGAAAGGAUGGAACAAUAUGGGUGAAAAGGAUAUGACAUUGAAUCCUGAAGAGGACCACAGUAUCCGCAUUCAAUUUUUAGGGAGGCAUGUAUCAUGGGAGAUUAUGCCACCCUAACAACACGAGAUACUAAGGAUCUCUGCUAUUAUUUGCUGCUUUGGAGUUCUUGCCUAUUAUAAUUGUUGGAAUAAAGCUCUUAUUCAAGGUGUUUUGUCUUUAAUUCUCUGCCUGUGAAUACAUAAGUACUAAUAUGUAUAUUAUAGAAUUAGAAAACAAUUUGAAAUUGUAAACAUAGAAUAAUGAAAUCUGAUCAAUGGGUUCAUCACUUCCUAUCUUGUCAUUGCUAAUUCAAUCACAGAACCAAAUGGAAAACAACUAGAAGAAAAUUAAGAAAAAAAUAACUAGGAGAAAACUCUCCCAAAUUGGUGAACACUACUCCAGCUAAGCUACUGGUGCAUAGCAAGAUAAUUCCAAAACUGCUUCCUCUUGCAAUAUGAGCUCCAAUAUGCUUUUAGUAUCUUCAUCAUUCUGUUAGAAUCUCCCGGUGACACAUCUCCCACAAUUUCCAACAAAUGCAGCUCCCCCGCUGCAUGAUUCUGCCUUCUGCUCCUCUUUUCGUAAUACACCUGAAACGGUCUUGGAUUUGAGUUCACAGCUUGCAAGCUUCUGCUGCUAACAUUGCCAUCCUCUUGAACAUUAACUUGUCCCCAAGGUUGAAAUAAGAAUUUAGUUUUGUAAUCUAUCACUUUCAUUCAACUAGCUUUAUUUUCAGACUUUCCUUUCCAUUUAAUUAAAACUUACUAGAGUUGCUGUUCCAUUAUUAACUUUGAUAGAAUAAAGGAUAAGAAUUGUAAUAUUGAAAGCAAAACUAAACUGUGAACGCUAAAAUUUUAUUCAGAAAUGUUGAAGCGCUUACAACCGGUAUAUUUCAAAAUUGCCAAACAAAAUAAAGGACCGCGGAAAUGAUUCCCGAGCUAGUCCAUAACACAGCCCACAGCCAAGCUAUUUACACCCUCUUUAUUUAAUGGGGUUUAUCAUUAUAUAUAUAUCAAAUAGUUACUUUUUGCUUAAUUGAUAGGUCGGAACAUUCUUUUAUUGAUAAUGCACGCAUCUACCUUGUGAUAGAGUAUUUCCCUCAAACUCUAGGAGAGUUUAUCGGCAGGCUGAAUGGAAGUCCCUUUGAUAUCAAAGCGAGCAGGUGAUCAACGGUAAAAUUUUCUUUAUGUCAAAAAUUGCAUACUUUGUUGCAAAGCCGAUCAUUAGUAAUGAUGUCUUAAUUUGUCUUGUAGUUAUUUUUGAGAUAAAUUUUGAAUGGGAUAGCACAUUGUCCCUCUAUGGAUAUCCUUCAUCCAAAUUUAAAGUUAAGCAAUAUAAUGGUAAAAGAAAAUUUGUUGUUAAAGAUCAUUGAUUUUGGUCUCUCUAGAUCUUACUCUCGAGAUAUAGAUGUUAUGUAAUUUUAAAUUUAUUAAAAAAAUCUCUGUAUUUUUUAUUUUAAAAUAAUUAUAUUUUUUAUCCUAUUAUUUAGGACACAUCGGCACAUACGCUUACAUGGCAUUGAAAAUUUUGCUCAACCUGUGUUAUUAUUUCCGAAAAUUUUGCAUAAGGGGUGGAUAGUUUUGACUUGGGCCGAGCAAAAUUUCCGGUGCCAUGUAAGCGUACGUGUCUAUCUCAUGGGAUAAAAAAUAUUAUUAUUUUAAAAUAAAAAAUACAAAAGAAUUUUUUAAUAAAUUUAAAAUUAUAUAACAUCUAUACCUCUGGAAUAAGAUUACUAUCAGAGCUAAUGAAACCUCUAGAGAGCCAAAAUCAAUGAUCUUUAGUAACAUUUUCUUUUACCAUUAGAUUACUUAACUUUAGAUCUCGAUAGAAGAUACCCAUAGAGUGACAAUAUGCUAUUUCAUUCAAAAUGUCUCAGAGUUUAACUACAAGACAAAUUAAGGCAUCAUUACUAAUGAUCAGCUUUGCAACAACUUAUGCAAUUUUUGACAUGAAAGAAAAUUUUACCGUUGAUCACAUACUCACUUUGAUAUCAAAGGGAACUCCAUUCAGCUUACCGAUAAACUCUCCUAGAGUUUAAGAGAAAUACUCCAUCACAAGGUAGAUGCGUCCAUUAUUAAUAAAAGAAUGUUCUAACCUAUCAAUUAAGGAAAGAGCAAGUAUUUGAUAUAUAUAUAUAUAUAUAUAAAACGAUAAACCCCAUUAAACAAAGAGCGUGUGAACAACUUGGCUGUGGGCUGUUAUUGGCUAGCUCAGGAAUCAUUCCCUGAGUCCUUUAUUUUGUUUGACAACUUUGAAAUAUAUUGUAAGCCCUUCAGCCUUUCUAAAUAAAUUUCAGCAUUACAGGUUAAUUUUGCUUUCAAUAUUACAAUUCUUUUCGAUGAAUGCCCUAAAGAGCCGCCUCAAAUUCUUCUUAUUCAGAUUAGAGUAAUAAUGGAACAGAAUCAACAACUCUAGUAAGUUUUAAUUCAAUGGAAAGGAAAGUCUGAAAAGAAAGCUAGUUGAAUGAAAUAUAUUGGUUGUAAGUGCUUCAGCCUUUCUAAAUAAAAUUUCAGCAUUUCAAUUUAGUUUUUCUUUCAAUAUUACAAUUUUUAUUCUUUACUCUAUCAAAGUUGGUGGAACCUGGAGAAGUUUUGCAGACCAGAGUAAUAAUGGAACAGAAUCAGCAACUCUAGUAAAUUUUAAUUAAAUGGAAAGGAAAGUCUGAAAAGAAAGCUAGUUGAAUGAAAGUGAUAGAUUACAAAACUAUAUUCCUAUUUCAACCUUGAGGACAAGUUUAAUGUUUAAGAAGAUGGCAAUGUUAGCCGCAGAAACUUGCAAGUUGUGAACUCAAACCCAAGGCCGUUUCAGAUGUAUAACAAAAAAAAGAAAAGAGGAGCAGAGGAACACGGAGAAGCAUUCUAGAAGGCAAAAUAAUGCAGGUGGGGGAGCUGCAUUUGUUGGAAAUUGUGGGAGAUGUGGGAAAUUGUGGGAGAUUCUAAUAGAAUGACGAAGAUACUAAAAGCAUAUUAGAGCUCACAUUGCAAGAGGAAGCAAUUUUGGAAUUAUCUUGCUAUGCAGCCGUAGCUUAGCUGGGGCUAGUGUUUACCAGUUUGGGAGAGUUUUCUCUUGGUUAUCUUUUUCUUAAUUUUCUUCUAGUUGUUUUUCAUUUGGUUCUGUGAUUGAAUUAGCAAUGACAGGAUAUGAAGUGCUGAACAGAUUUCAUCAUUCUAUGUUUACAAUUUCAAAUUUUUUCCUAAUUCUAUAAUACAGAUUAGCACCUAUGUAUUCACUUGCUUUCACUGCAAGGCAAGAAAUUAAAGACAAAGCACCAUGAAUAAGAGUUUUAUUCCAACAACUAGAAUAGGCAAGAAAUCUGUGGCUAGAACUCCAAAACAGCAAAUAAUGGUAGAGAUUUAACGAGCUCCAAAAUCUAGAAUAUAGUUUAGAAUAUAUAGUACUUCAUCAUGUUAGAGUGACAUACAUCUCCCAUGAUACAUGCCUCCCUAAAAAUUGAAUACAGGAUCCUCUUCAGGAUUCAAUGUCAUCUCCUUCAUCGCCCAUAUUGUUCCAUCCUUUCAAAAAUUACUUUCUAAACCUUACCAUAACCGCCUGAGCCAAGAGGCUCCCCAAAUACAUCAUAUUCUUCUAUAUGCUGUAUGCACCAAAGCAAAUAUUAUCUUAACCAAAUUGCAAGACUGAAUCCAACAGGCUAUAUAUACACACAUAAACAUAUAUGAAGAAUAAAAGUAGUUUAAAGGCAAGUAAACUGAAAUUACUAGAAGAUAAAUCAAUAACGAAGAAGGUUUUAGAAUUGAUUCAAAGGUAGAAUCUGCUAAUGGUAUGAUGCAUCAAAAGACACAAAAACACAAACAGCUAGGGUUCUUAUAUAUUUCAUGCAUGGUUUAACAGAAAUCAAACUGAAGAUUUAAUUUCUUUAAUUUAGAACCAAACCACAAGUAGUUCUAGUUCUACUUGAUCAAUAUUUGAAAAACAUAAAAAAUUCACCAAUAUUACAUCAGAAAAAAACUAAUUCCAAGGUUUCCUUUCAAUAAAAGAGUGGAAAUUAGGGAAGAAAGGAAGUAAUGCAAGUUGCAGAAUAUUAGAGCAAUAUUCUCUCAAUCUUGAUUUAUUAUUUGGAAUAAAAUAUUUCACAAGAAUUCAACUAUUAUCUACUGAUUUCACAAGAAUAAAACUUGCACAAGAUUUUCAUUUUCAAGGAAAAUGAAAUCAACUUGCACAAGAUUUUCAUUUUGAAGGAAAAUGAAAUCUUUUGCAAGAAUUCAUUUGAAUUAUCGGUCUUGCAAAAUGAAUAAUCUGAAUACAAGAAAAGAACUAGAAGAAGAACUAACAUUUCUCUUUUUAGAGGGCAUUAACAGAUUCAAUUAGAAGAUUCAAAUGGAGGGAUGUGAUGAGAAAUGAAGUUCCAUUGCUAGACUGAGUUCAGAUGUGAAACAGCUAAUCGUGAGGUAACGAACGAGUCAAAGUGGUGCUUUGUUCUCACAAUUUCGUUCUCCAAUGUUGCUCGAUGGGCGUCGAAACCACCAAAAAUAAAUUUCUGCUUUAAAAAUAAAAUUUGUGAUAAUGGUAAGCAGGGUCGAUCCCAUCCCACAGAGACUGGUUAAAUAGAUCAACUAUUGAAUGAACUAAAAUAAAAUAAAAUAAAAUGGGGGGUUUUGAAUGUAGAGGAAUAAAUAAAAUUAAUCCAAAAGAAGAAAAAAUUUAAAUUUAAGAGAGAAUCAAGAUGAGACACAUUCGGUUAAAGGAAUAAUUUUAGUUUCAGUUUUUAUGGGUUGAUCACAGAUACAAAAUAAUCUCAAUUUAAUUAAUAAAUCAGUUAUAGAUAUCGAAGACGUUUCAAGUAUCCAAUCCUUUCUUAAUUUUAAACUAGUUAAGAGACGAGCAUGUACUUAUUAAUCAGAAAAGACAAAAGCUACCCAUAAUCAAUAGCUCACAAAGUUAACUCAACUUAUUUCAAACAACCCGCAUUUCACAAUAAAAUCUCAUCAAUGUAUACAAAUCAUAAAGGAAACACCAACACAAUCUUCAAAAGCUGAAAUGUAGCAAACUCAUUCUUAAUAUGUGAUCAUGCAAUUAAGUUCCAUCAAGUUCUUAAAUUAGUGCAUAAAGAAACAUAUACCCAACCAACCAAGAAAGUUUUUUAAAAUUAUAAUUUUCACUUGGGAACCCAGUAAUCCAGAUUUUAUUUAUUUUAUCAUUUUUAUUUAUUUAUUUAUUUUUUAUGGUUUUGGUUCGAUAUUUUUUCGGCUUCUAUGAGAGUAUACUCUCCUAACACUGGUUUUUUCUAUUCACAAGAGACAUCCCUUACUUAAGGGGAAUGGACCCGAACCACCCAAACCAACCGGCAAUGAUAAACCCUAUUAUUAGUGGUAUGUUUCAAAUUAUUGACGGCCCCUACGGGGUAUAAUUCUCCCAAUCAUUAGCUUUUUCCAUCCACAAGAGAUAUCCCUUGCUUAAGGGGAUCAAAUGUCGUACCAUUUGAACCAGCUAAUGUUGGUAAACCACCUAAAAAUUAAUAAUAAUAAAUUUUCUUUUCUUUUCUUUUUUUUUAGUUCCCUGGGGAUAGUAUCAAGACUCACUGUAGUAGGUUAAAGUAGAGUUUCAACAUGCACUAUUGGUCUUUUAUCAAGCAAUAUCAAUUUACUUAAACAUAAGUUUGCAUAUUUCAACGCAUAAAAAAAGUGCUAGAAUCUCAUAAUGAUCUGCAUAAAAAGACAAAAGAAUGCCAUUUGUGCUGACUCUGAAAGUCAAAAAUUAUUUUAGUUUAUUUUUUAUUUUUUAUUUUUAUUUUUUUUCUUUAAGAAGAUAAACAAAUCAAAUAAAACAAAAAAGAACAAUUAAAACUAAGGCAAGUGAACAGACUCUCCCCCACACUUGGAUCACAAUGUACUCAAUUGAUAAAAAAAACAACCAAUGCAGAUAUAGCUAUUCUCCCCACACUUGGGUCACAACAAAAAUAAAUAAAUAAAUAAAUAAGAAGAGAGUUUAGAAUAUGACCCGGAGGGAUGUCAGGACUCCCCAUCUGAUCAAUUCUGGUAUUGAAGAUUUGAAAAGCAUGUUGGGCAUCAAAUGAAGGAUUAGCCAUGGUACAGGCAACAGGAGCCGUGCGUAAAGCACUUCCUUUUUUGAACACUCAAUAGGAUCGCGGGAUGGGACUUGGACGACAAAAAGUGUCAUCAAGACUCAUUAAAUCUAAGGUUAACAUGUCACAAGCUUUAUGCAAAUUAAUAUUUUUUAAGUCAAUUAAUCUUUCAUGCAAUGCAACGUGGUGACUAUGUGUACUAGAAUUAAAGGUCUGGGACUAAAAGCACAGCAUAUUUGUGAAGCAAUAAAACAACUCAAAUUGACUCUUAUACCCUCAGUCAUGACCCUUAUACCCUCAGUCAUGCACAACAAUUCAGUCUUAGACAGGAUCCCAGGGGAAUCCAUUUUUCCAGAGAAAGAAUGUGAAUGUAAAGAUGAAUCACUAGAUUAGUGUGUGAGUCGCUCAUGUACUGCACGGGCAUGCAAAUAGGUUUCUGAGUGGGCAGAUUCAAUCGUCAAUUAACCCAAGAUCAACCCAGCCAGCUGUAUCUAAUGUGCAACCUGUUAGUGAAUCAGAAGGUGGAAUAAAAUUCCCAAAUAAGUUCAUAGUAAAUUGGACAAUUAAUGGCAAAAAAUUUAUCCCAACCAAUACUCCCAAUUAACAAAUCCACAUUUAAAUUUUACCUUGCACAAGAGGAAGAGGAAACAUAACUGGCUUUUUCUUUUGCAUUUGUAAGAAGAAGGCUACCGUUAAAUCGUGAUGGAGCCGGAGGUAAGUGAUGUCUGCCCCUCCCAAGUCGUGUCCGGAUACCAGCAACAGAGGGAUUGGUAUGAGACUGGUCUGCUGAAGAGGUGGAAGUGGAGUGAUGUAAGUCAGAAAGUUGCUCACCGUUGGUGGUGGCUGAGGGUUGUGGACCGGCGCGAGGUGGUGGCUUGGCACGUGGGUUGUUGUCCGCGAUGGAUGCGUGUGAGGGAUUCAAGGCGGGUUGCACGGCGCGAGAUGGCGAGGAAUGAGCGGCGGCAGUGGAAAGGAGUCGAUCUUGCGCACGGAUGGUGGCGCACGUCAGCGAUGGAGAGGUGGUGGCACGAUCUGGUGAAGCACGCGGGUUGCGAUCUGCGCGUGCGUUGGGCGUCGCGGCCGGCGGAGAUGGAGAGGUGUUGGCGGCGGCUGGUGUUGGCGGGUUGCGACCGGUAAAGGUACGAACUCGCCGGCCGUCAGAGGUGGAAGUGGAGCGUCGUUUGGGAGCCAUGGGUUAUGUGCUGCUGUAGGAGAGAAGAGACAAAAGGAAAAUUAGGUGCAGGAAGAGUAAAAAUAAAGGGUAAAAAGAGAAAAGAAUAAAUAAAUAAAUUUAACCCUAAUACCACCUUUUGUUUCCAAAACACACCCAUAAAUAUAAGAUCACAGACCUCUAGAACUUAAAAUAAAAUGCUCCAAUACGAAAAAAAAAAAAACACUUAACACAGGAGAAGAUGACGGAGGAUAAAAAUAAAGAAAUAAAAUUGAAUGAAACUAAAGAUCAAACAAAAAAUAUUCUUAUGACCUGUUGUCUAGUUAGUUAUGGGCAUAAUCCAGAAUAUAAACAUACCUCUAUAGAAUUUUUUUUUUUACUAAAAUUUUAUUUAGAAAAUAGAAAGAGUAGUUUUAAUUUAAAGUCUUAGCUAGACUUCACUUCCUUGCAAGUUAGUUAAAGGAGUGGAGAGAAAUCGCUGAUAUGGCCCGAAAUUCUCAUAAAAAUAUUUUAGAAGAUGGCCAUUAACCUUGAAUGACUUGUUGGUGCCCAUACUCCUUAUUUCUACGGCACCAUGAGAAUAAAUAUUAGUGACAAUAAAAAUACCAAUCCAUCUAGUUCGUAAUUUAUCAGAAAAUAAUUUCAGUUUAGAAUCAUGUAACAGAACUUUUUGACAAACUAAAAAUUAUUUCCUAGAAAUUAAUUGAUCAUGCAAUGCCUUGGUUCUUGCUUUGUAUAUUCUGGAAUUAUCAUAAGUAUCAUUCUGAAUUUCUUCCAGCUCUUGCAGUUGCAACUUACAAUGCACACCAGUUUUAUCCAUACUCAUAUUGCAUUGCUUUACUGCCUAGAAAGCCUUAUGUUCAAUCUCUACGGGUAAGUGACAAGGCUUUCCAUAGAUGAGACAGUAAGGGGACAUGCCAAUUGGUGUUUUAAAAGCUGUGCAAUAUGCCCAUAAAAGUGUCCUCCAACUUGAGACUCCAAUCUUUGCGAUUAGGACUGAUAGUUUUUUCAAGAAUGGACUUAAUUUCUCUGUUGGACACCUUGCCCGUUUGUUUGUGGGUGAUAAGCUGUGGAAGUUCAAUGAUGGACACCAUACUUCUUAAAAAGAGCUGCAACUAUCUUAUUGCAAAAAUGGGUUCCACGAUCACUGAUUAUAGCCUUUGGGACUCCAUACAUGUUAAAGAUAUAUGACUUGACAAAACCCACAACAACUUUAGCAUCGUUAGCAUGGGUAGCUUUUGUUUCUACCCACUUAGAAACAUAAUCAAUAGCUAACAAUAUGUAUGUAUGACCAAAAGAAGAUGGGAAUGUAUACCCCAAACAACGAAUAUUUCACAAAUAAGGAUGGGUUGUUGGGGCAUCUGGUCACGACGACUUAAAUUUCCUUAGCACAAGACUUACAGAAUAUAUAGGAAUCAUGAUAUAUAUGAGGCCAAUAAAAUCCACUAUCAAGAAUCUUACGAGCUGUUCUCUUUGGACCAAAGUGGCCUCCACAUGCGUGGUCAUGACAGAAGCUCCUAAUGGAACUGAUUUCAUUACCCAUGACACAUCUCCGAAUAAUCUGGUAUGAGCAUAUGCGCCAUAAAUAAGGUUCAUCCCAAGUAUAAUACUUGGAAUCAUGUUUGAUCUUUUCUCGUUCAGCUCUGGUUAAGUCAUCGGGUAAGGAUUUAGAGAUCAAAUAAUUAACUAUAUCUGCGUACCAUGGAACUUGCUCUGAUGCAGAGAACUGGUAUUCAUCCGGGAAGUCAUCAUUAAGUGGUACAGUGUCUUCAACCAACAAUGGCAGUCGGCUAAGAUGAUCAACAAUUAAGUUCUCAGAUCCCUUCUUGUCUCGGAUCUCAACAUCGAACUCUUGAAGCAAAAGAACCCAUCGAAUCAAUCUAGGCUUUGCAUCUUUCUUCUUGAAAAGGUAUUUUAAAGCUGCAUGGUCAGAGUAAACAAUUACUUUAGUACCAAGUAAAUAUGAACAGAAUUUUUCUAAAGCAAAAACUAUAGCUAACAGUUCUUUUUCUGUGGUUGAGUAAUUGCACUGGGCACUAUCAAGUGUUCUGGAUGCAUAAUAAAUAACGUGAGGAUCUUUUCCCUUCCUUUGGCCUAAGACCGCGCCCUCAGCCCGGUUGCUAGCAUCGCACAUAAUUUCAAAAGGUUGACUCCAAUCAGGAGGCUGUAUUAUGGGCGCAAUGAUUAAUACCUCCUUGAGUGCAUUAAAAGCUUUCUUGCAAGAAUUAUCAAAAGUAAACUCAACAUCCUGUUGCAAUAACCUACAGAGUGGCUGAGCUAUUUUUGAGAAAUUCUUAAUAAAUCGUCGAUAAAAAUCUGCAUGUCCAAGGAAAGAAUGAAUUUUACGCACAUUAACGAGAUAGGGUAGUGACUUAAUGAUAUCUAUCUUACUUUUGUCAACCUCAAUUCCCCUUUUUGACACAAUGUGCCCCAAUAUUAGCCCUUGAUCUACCAUAAAAUGACAUUUCUCAUAAUUUAACACCAAAUCAGACUCUAGACACCUUUUAAGGACUUUUUCAAGGUUAGCUAAGCAUGUAUCAAAGGAGUUACCAUAUAUGGUGAAAUCGUCCAUGAAAACUUCUAUGAUGUCUUCUACAAAAUCUGAAAAUAUACUAACCAUACAUCGCUGAAACGUGGCUGGUGCAUUGCAAAGCCCAAAUGGCAUUCGUCGAUAGGCAAAUGUGCCAAAUGGACAGGUAAAGGUAGUCUUCUCUUGGUCUUCAAGUGCCACAGGAAUCUGAUGAAAGCCUGAAUAUCCAUCAAGACAAUAAUAAUGAGAUUUCCCAGCUAGACGCUCAAGCAUCUGAUCAAUAAAAGGAAGUGGGAAGUGAUAUUUUCUAGUGGACGUAUUUAAUUUACGAUAAUCUAUACAAACCCUCCACCCGUUUUGGACGCGGGUGGGUAUUGAUUCUCCAUCUUUAUUUUUCACCACAGUAAUGCCUGUUUUCUUAGGGACAACCUAGACUGGGCUCACCCAUUUGCUAUCGGAAAUGGGGUAGAUCACACCUGCAUCAAGUAAUUUCAAGACUUCCUUUUUUACCACUUCUAUCAUAGGAGGAUUCAGACGACGUUGAGCUUCCCUGGUGGGCUUGCUGUCGUCUUCCAGUAAAAUUUUGUGCAUACAAAUGGAAGGACUAAUUCCUUUUAUAUCAGCUAUAGUCUAGCGAUUGCACCUUUAUUUUCUUUUAGAACUUGAAUCAGCUCCUCUUCUUCAUAUGGUGUCAGUUUGUUGGAGAUAAUUACGGGUAGAUAACUUCCUACCCCAAGGUAUGCAUACUUUAAGUGAGUAGGCAACGGUUUCAGUUCUAACUGUGAGGUUUGCACAACAGAUGGUAAAAGUUUAGAAUGAGCAGUAGGUAAUUCCAAAGAAGAGACAUUACAUUUAAUUUUGUUAGCUUCAAGUUCAUGGACCACAUCUUCCAACCUUCCUUAUAAGACAAAAUCAGUGCUUAUGGCUACCAAUUUAGCUUUACUCAGGUUUUCACACAUAACAGUUCAUAGUUCGUCCUCACCUUGCAACUCAAAUACUUGCUGGACUAAAGGUUUGAUGAUAUCCACACCACACACAUUAGAAAGGUCAUUUGGGUAUUUCAUGUCGUCAUACACAUUAAAUUUUAUAAUUUCCCCAUCGAACUCCAUGGUAAGUGUGCCAUAAAAAAUAUCUAUUUUUGUUCUAGCAGUUGUUAAGAAAGGUCUACCUAACAAAAGAUCAGAUGUAUUAGAGGCCCUAUCAUCAUCCAUAUGGACUAUGUAAAAAUCAGCAGGGAAUACUAAAUUACCAACUUGUACCAGCACAUCCUCUAAAACUCCCUCGGGGUAUAUAACAGAUUUAUCAGCCAAUUGUAUAUACUCCAGUUUCUUUUAAAGGGCCAACAUUUAAAAAUUGAUAAAUGAACAAUGGCAUUACAUUUAUAGAUGCACCCAAGUCACAAAUUGCUUUUUUAACCCCAACCUUGCCAAUUUUGAUAGGUAUAGCAAACAUACCUUGGUCUUUGCAUUUGGUAGGCAUUUUACUCUGAAAAACAACAGAUACCUUUUCAUCGAUACAAACAUUUUGGUAACCCACUAACUUUUUCUUAUUUGUGCAUAAUUCCUUUAAGAACUUUGCAUAGCGAGGUACCUGUUUAAUUGCAUCAAGUAAAGGUAUAUUCACUUCUACCUUACGAAAUGUAUCAAGGAUCUCCUUUUCUUUUUUCUCUCGUUUGGACCUGGCUAAUCUCUGAGGAAAAGGAGGUUUAAUUAUCAGAGGUUCAGAUUGCACGGGUGCUGAGCGGUCGUGCCCACGACUUACCUGUCGAGGGUCAUUGUGCAGUUCUUUUCCGUUUCUAAGUGUAACGGCACUUGCAUUCUGCUUGGGGUUUACUAUGGUCUGGGAAGGCAAUUUACCUUGAUUUUCCAACUUGUUCACCGAUACUACCAAUUGACUGAUUUGUGUUUCCAGAUUGCGAAUACUCGUUCGGGUCUCUUGUUGAAACUAUUGAGUGUCCUGUAGAAAUUGUUGAGUGUUAAUUGCCAAACUUUUAACAAUAUCUUCCAAGGACAUACCUAAAUUAGAUGAAGAUGCUUGCUGCUGAAACUGUUUAGGCUGAUAACUUUGAGAAUUUUGCUGUUUAUAGCUAAAGUUCGGGUGAUUUCGCCAUCCUGGGUUAUAUGUAUUUGAGAAAGGAUCGUACUUUCUUUGUGGAGGACCUGGAAACCCAUUGACAGCAUCCACAUGCUGGUCAUCCUCUUGAAGUGAGGGGCACAUGUCGGUGGAAUGACCCGUAUUAGCGCAAAUUCCACAAGCUUUGGCUUGUUGUGUCUUCUCUGCAACAAGAUUUUCAACUAAAAUGGUUAGAUGAGAAAGUUUAGACUCAACAGAAUAAUUACUUACCUCAGAAACUCUCCUAUGAGAGUCUUGUAUAGGUACAAAUUGUUGUGAAUUUGCUGCCAUCGUAGAUAUCAAUUCCCUGGCUUCUCGGGGUGUUCUUUUGCGUAUCGCACCUCCAUUUGUAGCAUCUAUCAUGCGUCUUUCCAUGGUUGUGAGUCCCUCAGAAAAAUGGAGCAUGAGUUAUUUAUAUGAAAUUUCAUGCCUAGGACAGCUAGCACAUAAGCGUUUAAAUCUCUCCCAAUAGUCAUGGAGAGUUUUUGUCUCCUUUUGCUUAAUUCCUGAUAUUUCUCUUCUUAUUGCAGAUGCUCUAGAAGUGGAAAAGAAUUGAUCUAAAAAUAAUUUUACCAUUUCUCCCCAUGUAGUGACUGAACCUGGAGGUAGGUAGUACAACCAGUCUUUUGCAUUAUCAGCUAGAGAAAAAGGAAAUGCCCUUAGCUUGAUUUGUUCUUCUGUAAUUCCUUGUGGUCUCAUGUUGGAGCAUACUACAUAGAACUCUUUCAAAUGUCUAUGAGGAUCUUCCCUUUCAACUCCUCUAAAGAUAGGGAGGAGAUGAAUUAAUCCCGAUUUUAGCUCAAGUAGUGCAUUUAGUGCAGGAUAGACGAUGCAAAGGGGUUGAGGGUCAUCCACAUUGUCAACAUCCUGUAUUGCUUGUUCUUCAGCCAUUUUCUCUUCCACGUCAGAUUCACCAGAGGUAUCGUCCGGGUUAGAUGCUGUUUCCUCCGUGCCCACGACCUGUUCGUCGACAGCAACCUGUUCUUCAAUGGCGAUCUCCUCUUCAACUUCAGCAAUCUGUGCUUCAAUAUAGAGUUGUUCCUCAAUGCUGGAUGAUGAGAGGUCUUUAUUUCACUGUUUAGCCUCUUUCCUAUGUUUUCUUGUGAUUUUCUCAAUUUCUGGGUUGAACUCUAGUCUACCUGCAAGAUUAGAACGUGUCAUUCAAAAAGAAUUAAUAAAAUAAUUUAGAACCAGUCCUCGGCAAUGGCGCCAAAAUUUGAUGGGCGUUGAAACCACUAAAAAUAAAUUCCUACUUUAAAAAUAAAACUUGUGAUAAUGGUAAGUAGGGUCGAUCCCACAAAGACUGGUUAAAUAGAUUAACUCUAUUGAAUGAACUAAAAUAAAAUAAAAUAAAAUAAAAUGGAGGGGUUUUGAAUGUAGAGGAAUAAAUAAAAUUAAUCCAAAAGAAGAAACAAUUUAAAUUUAAGAGAGAAUCAAGAUGAGACACAUUCAGUUAAAAGAAUAAUUUUAGUUCCAAUUUUUAUGGGUUGGUCACAGAUACAAAAUAAUCUCAAUUUAAUUAAUAAACCAGUUAUAUAUAUCGAAGAUGCUUUAGGUACCCAAUCCUUUCUUAAUUUUAAACUAGUUAAGAGACGCUCGUUAACUAGCUCUAACUUUUGGACAACCGUAGGAGACGCUCCUAGAAUUUAAUCCAAUUAUUGCAUUAAGAAUUAAAAGGACAUGAUUCUAACUAACAAACGCGAGAUGCUCAGUUCAUUUAAGUUAGAUUAUACUAUUCCUUAGGAAGGCCUUACGCAACCUAAUUUACUACUUAUUUCAAUUCAAUUAAAUAAUUACGGAUUUAAUUAACUGAAUAGCAACCUACCAUUCCGUCAAUUGAGCAAUGACGCCUUAAUUGAUCAAUCCACAGAGUAAUAUUAAACAAUAAACACAGGAAUAAUAUAAAUACCAAUAAUUGAGACAACUAUAAAAUCACAUAAAUCCCACAACCGAUUUAACUGAAACUUUUAAUUAUCCCUUUACUGAAAAGAAGAAUUUAGCCACACAAGUUCAUGACUAAAAAUAAGAGAUGAAAGAUAAGAUGAGAUGAGGUCAGAAUGCCCCUUUUUUAUAGUAUUAAGAGUCCUAAUCUAAAUACAAGUACCUAAAAUCAAAAUUGAGUAUAGUUUGGCAGAUAAAGUUAUCUGUUUGGUUCCCGGAUUUAAAGCUGGCUUUGUUGUCAAGUAUGUUUGUGCCUAUGACACAGCUCGUCUAGAGUAUCCUUUUAUAAAUUUGAUUGUGGCCACCUUUUAUGGAUUUCAAAUUGAUUUUUUCUCUUAUUUUCUUUCAAUCCUAUCAAGAUAACAAAAUUUAAACAAAUCAAUCUGUUUUAAACGAAAUCAAACUUAAUAUCUAAAUAUUUUGUAAUACUAAAGUUGCAUAAUUGUGCAUAUUAUCAUUGCUCUAUCUUCUUGCUGCCGUAGUAAGUUGAUUUUGGUCCAGGUGUAUGACCCCAAAACUUUCCUUUUGUUAACAUCAUGGCCUCUUCCAUGAAUCAUAUAUAUACAGUCCAAAAGACCUUAGAAGUUUCUAUCACUUGAUCAACAAGCUGACCCAUCAGGUUUCUUUUUACAUUCACUAGGAUGCUUUGAUUAUGUGAAUGGCGCUAUGCAUCUCUUUUUUUUACUUUAUUUUUGUGUUAGAAUCCCCUUAAUGGGUAGAGAUUUAUAGACCAUUUGAAUGAGCAGGCUAUCCAACUCUUUCUCUCACACUUGCAUACACCUUUAUAUGAGAUUAACCUUCUCAACACCCUGUUUAAGGGUCUUCCAUUUCCUGUUAGCUCAUAUAUUACAUUUCAUGAUUUUUCUCACAGGUUUAUUUGCUAUGACUAAGCAAAGGCAGCAUACUGAUGGCGAGGCCCUCUGCCGAAAGAUAGAAGAACCACUGUGACUACAAUCAAACCUUAGUUCUCGCUCUCUCUCUCUUUCUCUGUUUUCUCCCUAAGUUUUCUUUCUAUUUUUUUUUUUUUGUUAAUAAUCAGUUUUAUUUUAUUUAGUCGAUAGAGUUUUUUAGAUAUUUUUUAAAAUAUUUUUUAAUUAAUUUUAAUAUAAAUUGAAAAUUUUAUUUAUAAAAAAGCAACUUUUAUCAAAUUUUUUACCGGUGUUAACUAAUACCAUUAAUUUUGACUUAUUUGAUUCAUUUUUAAAUAUUUAAGGAUUUAUUUGGAUUAAAAAAAAAAUUCAAGAUGUUAUAUGACUAUUACUUUAAACUUAAAGGGUUAAACUAGAACUUUUGCCUUUUUCUUUUCAUUUUCUAAAAUUUCUUGGGCGAUCGGACGGUGUGAAAUUAAUCAAAGGCAAUCUGCGAAGAAAGCAUUUCGUCUGGGUCAGGUAUUUGACAUUGAUGGGGUUUGAAAAGAUCUUCUCUCAUUAACAAUCCCACAUUUUCUUUUCGAUUUUAAUUUUUGAGGGUUCUCCAUCGCAUCAAAAUGUCAGGAGAAACGGCUCUGUUUAAAUUCCUAAAGCCUAGGCGUCGUCCUCAAUCCACUGAUGUACAGGCCGCCGCCUUCUGGGGCAUCGCCGCCGCCUCCGCAGCUCUCUAUAUUAUACAGGUAUCUCCUUUCCUCUCUUUAUCUGAGAUCUGACUCUUUAUUUACUGAUUGUUGAUCCUUUCAAUUUUGUUGAAUGGGUUGCCGAUUUCUGGAUAAAAUUCGCCACUUUUGAAAAUUUUGCAACUUUGCAUUUGUGUGAUUCCCUGUUUUGCUGUUUUCAUUAUGUUCUAUUUGUAGAUACUCCUUGUGAUUAUUUGUGGAUCUUUUGUUUAAAGCUUUUAUUUUUUAAAAUUUCUGCAAGCACUGUUGUUGGAUUUGAACUUAAUAAAACCAUCUGUCAUGCAAUUGGAAGAGAACCUUUUAUAGCGAAAUAAUUUUGCCAAAUUAUAGAACAAAAUGGUUACUAGCCAAAGCAAGGAUGGUUAAAAACUCACUAAAAGGAGCUUUUAGCUGAGAGACGCAGUCAGUUCUGAAUAAAUAACAAGUUUGUGACUUCAUGUGGAAUGCCAGCUUCAUUGGUCCACAGUACCUUUUCUGCUUCUCCAAAUUUUUUGUGGUGUCCUUUUCUUUCUUGUAUUUUCUCUUCUUAAGAGAUGAUGUUUUGGCUGUUCUAAUUAUUGAUAAUGCAAGUGUCUCAGGUGUGUUUUAAUCCCAUUCUUUGUAUCAUUGAUCUGCGAACGUUAGAUAUUUGUCAGUUGUUUUAUUGAUGAUAAUGGUGGUAAACUUCAUGCAGAAUUAACUUGUAUAUGGAUUGUUCAACCUUUAAUAUGAAUUACUCGAAAACUACUUUUGUUUAUGGCCCUUUGCAACCAAUUCUGAAAUGUGUAAAUAUUGAACUAUGGAAUAGAACUUAGAAACAAAGGGAAGAAAAGGUUUGAUUUUAGAGUUUAACUCAUAAUAAAGUAAAACAAGCAACAUUGUUUCAAUUGGCACUUAAUGUAAAUAACUGUGAAGAAAACAUCGUGCAGCAAAUGUUAUUUUACCAUGCGAUUCAUGUAGGGAUCUAUGACUUUGGUGGUUGAAUGUGUUCUCAAGUUGUGCUCGUCACAAGACAUGUUUAAUUAGUAUUGACAUCUUUCUUCGCAUUCUAGUGUCUAUUUCCUGUUUGUUGAUUGUUGUGUAAUGGCUUUUUAUCGCUUGGCUCUUUUGAAGUUCUUGUAUGAAAGUCAAAUUCUGCUACCCACCUCUAUGGAUGGAUGUUUACAUGAUACAGGACUUUGGCACAUACCAUAAAGUUUUUAGUUUAUCAACCUUUGCUAUUUGAUUUUUCAUCUUUGCUACUUCACAUGCCUAAAAUUACUAAUCAAUUAGCACUUAUUGCUCUUUCAUUAAAAGAUAUGAAAUCGUGGAUAGAGACAGAAGUUUGUUGUGCCUCUUUGUCACAUUCAUAUAAUGUUCAUGAUUUUUUCAAUCUGAAAAUUUUUCUGUGUCUUUCUUCAGCCAUUUGAUUGGAUUAAGAAGACCUUCAUUGAUAAGGAGCCUGAAGGAAAGUGAACAACGAUCAAAUUUUUGAAUAGCUUUUUGAUAUCUUUCAUGAUGUUGGCAAUGAGAAACCUUGAGUGAAGCUGAUAUGAAUAAUGUUGUUUCAUUUUCUAGUUGUCGUUGAGGCCUUGUUGGCAUUAAUUCCUGGCUUAAGUGGACAAUUUUAAACUCAAGUGUUUGUUUUUUUUAAUCUUAAUUGUACUUCUGCUUUUGCUCUCUUUCUCUCUCUCUCUCUCUCUCUCUCUCUCUCUCUC
rnacentral:lncRNA from 1 species